ACGCUGGCGGCAUGCCUAACACAUGCAAGUCGAACGAGACCUUCGGGUCUAGUGGCGCACGGGUGCGUAACGCGUGGGAACCUGCCUUUAGGUUCGGAAUAACUCAGAGAAAUUUGAGCUAAUACCGGAUAAUGUCUUCGGACCAAAGAUUUAUCGCCUUUAGAUGGGCCCGCGUAGGAUUAGCUAGUUGGUGGGGUAAAGGCCUACCAAGGCGACGAUCCUUAGCUGGUCUGAGAGGAUGAUCAGCCACACUGGGACUGAGACACGGCCCAGACUCCUACGGGAGGCAGCAGUGGGGAAUAUUGGACAAUGGGCGAAAGCCUGAUCCAGCAAUGCCGCGUGAGUGAUGAAGGCCUUAGGGUUGUAAAGCUCUUUUACCAGGGAUGAUAAUGACAGUACCUGGAGAAUAAGCUCCGGCUAACUCCGUGCCAGCAGCCGCGGUAAUACGGAGGGAGCUAGCGUUGUUCGGAAUUACUGGGCGUAAAGCGCACGUAGGCGGCGAUUCAAGUCAGAGGUGAAAGCCCGGGGCUCAACCCCGGAACUGCCUUUGAAACUAGAUUGCUAGAAUCCUGGAGAGGUUAGUGGAAUUCCGAGUGUAGA
rnacentral:rRNA from 1 species